AGGGCGGCGGGAAGCUCAGCGGUGGGGCCACGCGCGGAGUGCGCGUCACUCUCUCGGCCCCUGGGAAGGUCUGAGACUCGGGCCAGCAGCGGCCCUAGCAGGGCCCUCCCCGCGCGCGGGGGGGUGAGUUCCCAGAGAGCGGGCCCCGGAGAGGGCCUUCGGGCAGGAGAGGCCGCGCGCGCGGCGGAUGCCCCCUCCCCGGGGCUUGGAAUAGACUCACGGCCGGCACGGUGAGUUCAAUGGCUGGGCCGGGGCACCCGAGCAGGCCGGCGUCGGGCCGCGGGGCUCCGGAACCCAAUUCAGACUACUCUCCCCCGCCCGC
rnacentral:RNase_P_RNA from 3 species